GAUAACGACUUAAAAUAGUUCCAGUUAGAUUUUAUUUAUUUAUUUUGACAAGCAUAAUCCAAUCAGAGUGGCAAUGAAGUCUGAAAAUAUUUCCUUGAAUUGUAUUUAGUUUUUUUUUUGACAGUUUGCGUAUGAUUUUUCCGGAGGGUAAAUAGUUUUUGUUUAUUCAAAUGAAAUUUUCAAACAUUACCGACGCGCACUCAUAGACAGCUUCACUCGUCAUCUCUGUACCUUUAGCAAACACUAGUAACCGGUAUUUAAUCGUCUAAGGUAACAUGUUUUCAUUCAAUGUUUUCACUUAGGAAGUAACUCACCAAAAAAAGCUGAAAGAUGAAAAUUAUUACAGCAGUUAUCAUCUUUUCUGUGCUUUAUGCAGAAGUAUUUUGCGAUGCUCCGUGUAAGAAAAAUUGCAGCUCUGCAUUAACCAGCUGUUUAGAAAACAUACCUUCUACAGAAACACUUCCAAUAGGGUAUAAUAAAUUUCAAAAAUGCAAAGAAAACGAAAGGUACUGCAUACUUAGUUGUCAAAAAAAGAGACUUUUUAAAAAACUAGCUUAACAACCACUUUGCGUUAUUGAGUGUGACCACAGCUUAAAUGAAAAUAUGUUGGCCUUUUAAAAAAAUCAAAUCCUUCAGUCAAAACAUUUUUAUUAACUUGUAAAUAAGAUGUAAAUACUUGUAAAAAUUAUUGUAAAUAAAUUGUAAUUAUAAAAAUACAUAGUGCAACCACGAAGCAAUGAACCAGUUGAACAAGGAAUAAUGAAACCGAAUUUAAAUAAUCAUUUUGCGUCAUUCAAAUCGAAAUGAAUUUCAAAAGAUGAAAAUAUUAUAUUUUAAAGCAAUUAAACUUUUUUUUUAAUAAUUUUUUAUAUAUUUGAAUUUGUAUAAAGAUGUAAAUAAACAGAGUAAAUGAGAAAUAAACACAGCGAAUGAGAAAACUAGA
rnacentral:lncRNA from 1 species